GGGGAUUUAGCUCAGCAGUGAAAGCGCCUGUCUGGCAAGCACAAGGCUGUGAGUUCAAUCCCCA
rnacentral:tRNA from 1 species